UCAUGGUUGUAUCUGAACACUUU
rnacentral:miRNA from 1 species